CGCACCUAGGCUAGGGAUAGAAACUUCAUACAUUUGAAAGAACAAGCUUAUUGGCUCCUGCUUACAUUCGGGAGUGUGCCAGAUUGCACUAUUUGGGAUCCAGAACUCAGGCAUCAAAGGAUGACCUUGACCUGAUAGCUUCAUGUCAUACUAAGUCCUUUCAGCUGGCAAAGUCUCAGAAACGGAACCGGGUAGAUUCCUGCCCUCACCAGGAGGAGACCCAGCACCAUACGGAAGAGGCACUGAGAGAGCUGUUUCAACAUGUUCACAAUAUGCCAGAGUCAGCAAAGAAGAAACAACUUAUUAGACAGUUUAAUAAGCAAUCAUUGACCCACACACCAGGGCGAGAACCUUCUACUUCCCAGGUACAGAAGAGGGCUCGUUCGCGCUCCUUCAGUGGGCUUAUUAAGCGGAAGGUCCUGGGAAAUCAGAUGAUGUCAGAAAAGAAAAAGAAGAACCCUACUCCAGAAUCUGUGGCCAUUGGUGAAUUGAAGGGAACCAGCAAAGAAAAUAGGAACUUAUUAUUUUCUGGCUCUCCGGCUGUCACGAUGACACCAACAAGAUUGAAGUGGUCUGAAGGGAAGAAAGAGGGGAAAAAAGGAUUUCUCUGAAGGAUCCAGAGUUGUCUCCUAUGGUCCAUGCAGAAUUUUCUCUUUAGUGGGCAGGUGUUAUUCCUGCCCACAGCAAAGCUUGGACUUGCAGCUUGCUUGCUGCAUUUUGAAUUGUCAAAGCCAACUAAUACCAUGACCCGACUGAUACCUCUAAUCCCACUCACUUGAUGUUUGCAAGCUGUGCCUUCUGAGAGAGUGCUUAGGCUCUGUCUCUCUUUUUUAAUAUUACGGGGAAACCACUAACUAUCCAACCAGCUUAUACAGCACAGUGAGGUGGGCUUCAGUUCUCGUUCAAUGUGUUUAGGCAGAUUCCACUUUUGAAAAAAAAUAUGAAAUGUGUGCUCAACUGCCAGUAAUUUUUUAAAAAGCACUGUCCCAGUGGAUUGAUGUUGUUUUUAAUGGAUAUUUUGGGUUUUUCUCUGUUUUGAUAGUGUUGGGUAUUUUGUUGUUUUUGUUUGUUUAUUUCUUUGUUUUAAAAGCCAUGUUUUUGGAUGGGCCCUAAGCUAGAUGCCUUUCCUUCUUUUUCACUUUGAGCUUUGGGAAAACUCUUUAUCUUAUGAGGCUGUAUUCCUCAAUACCUAAUUUGUGUCCAAAGAAUUUAUAGCUUUUCUGGACAUUUUUUAUUAUUUCUUGGGUCUGACAUCAGAGUAUUUGACCUGCAGUAUUGAAAAAGGAGAAUUCAGAAUGAUACAAUAUUUUAACAAAUCUUAAUUAUUAAACUCUUUUCCUUCCUUCCAUUUCUCCCUCCCUUGUCCAUCUCUCUCCCUCUUUCCCUUUCCUCAGUGAUGUGAAAAUAAUUGUGUUUUGCUGAGAUUGUUACCUUCAUUCAAUUUCCUCUUGACUAAAACAUCUCUGGUGCCAACGUAAUACUUCUGAACCAAAUCACUGUGACUCAAGGAAAGUCACUGACAGCAUAAUAGAAGUUUGCUAAAAUAUUUGUAUGUGGGGGAAGCUCUGGAGUGUGCCUAGGAGGGGGCUGGCUGCCUUUAUGUCCCAGGAUGACUCUUUAUGGGUGUGAUUACAUUGCACCCUCUGAGGGUGCAGGCUAGACCGUCUCCUGAGAGGAAGUUAGAAUCAGAAAAAAGAAGCAAGCAGCAGCCUCUGCAGGGCUGACAGGAUUUAAAGGAGAGAAUGUUCUUAUUAGGAAGCAGCUGUGGCUUGUCACCAGUGUUCAAGGAGUGUUACUGUUCCGCCCUCUCCUUGUCAGAAGGGACACAGGUAGUAAGUUGGAGAUGGGGCCAGAGCUUCUGGCUUUUGGAUUUGGUGUGUUCACUUGUGUUGGAUGGAGCAGUGGCAUGGCUUUGACCUAGUAUGAACUGGUGUCUGCCCAGAGAGCAGCAUGUGGCAGGGGGGAAUGCUCAGGUUUGUGCCUGGCUCUGUGAAGCUGUACCACCCUUCUCACCCUGUGGGUUGGAGCCUAGUCAGGCCACUAUGGGGAAGCAGUUGCCCCACAAAAUGUGGUCUGCUGACCUAUUUCUAAACUGUUGAAUAUGCUGCGCCAUUGCUGAAAUGAAAGAUGACUCUGGGGGAGCAGAGUUUGGCCUUGUGCCCAGCUGGCAGCCCUCUCUGCCAGCCUUUCUGCUGCUUUUGCUGCUGUAACAGCAAUAGUGGAGAAAAAUGUAAAAUUUGGUCUUCCAGCUUAAUACAGUGUGAACAAUAGAUGGUUAGGAAAACAAAACUGCUUAGAAGCCCCUUUCUCUAGAGCAGUUUUAUGUCAUUACAUAUUAGCAAAUUUGUUUGCGUAGGUUUCUAUUAAAUAUUUGACUUUUUUUUUUCUUUUUAAGAAAAUGAAAUUCCUUAUACCAGACAUCAGUUAAUUAGAACAGAAAACCCUUUUGGUAUCACCAAAUUGAAAUGGUAUUCUUCCUUAACUCUUCCUUCUUUCCUUUAUUUGUUUAGACGUGCUUCAUCCUGAAGUGGUGCUAUGGUCUGUUAAACAGGGCUGGCAUCAGGUAGAGGGAGCAGGGUGGUGACCUGAUAGCUCCUGUCAUCGUGUUAGUUUUUGAUUCUAUUUAAGGGAAGUAGCUGAGAUUUAGACGGAUGUAGACGCUCUUUGGGUGAAUGGAGUCAUAAGCAAGGGUUGUGUUCUGGGGUGAGGAUCAUGAGAGAGAUAUCUAUCACAUGCACAUGCCUUUAUAUAGCUGGUCUCCUUGGGUAGUUUAUGUGUGUUUUGUUUAUUUAUUGAAUAUGUUUUCCCUUGCUUUAGGGGUUUUAUAGGUCAUUUUUCUUAAUAGAAGCUGUGAUCGACUUAGAAUCCAAAUUUGAGGAGUAAGCAGCAUAACCUUCUACCUUGUAAUAUGUAACUAUUCUAAUCCUGUGGAAUCUUAUGGAAAACACAGAGAAAACCCCUUUUAUCAUUUGCCACAGAAGGCUGCUGUCUCCCUUCUGAUUUGGUGGGCAGGUAUUGUUUUUGAGCCAGUAUUUAACAGAGUUUUUUAAUCUGUAAGAUUUUUUUUGAAUCUAUUUCAUUGUGUUUGUUUUUCAUGUUGGAACAAUCUCUCUGGAAGUGCCUCCUGUGGCUUUUACAACUUCAUUUCUUUCUGGGGUCACCUGUGAUGGACUUUGAUGUGUUGUCAAUUUGGGGCCUUGUGUUUGUGCCAGAGGGAUACACAUAUUAAACUGUAGGCCACCUUCCUGGUCCAGACUGUACUGUGUGAACCCCACUGACUAAAUUAGUGAGAACCAUAGGCGUUGGAGUUUCUCACCUUUUACAAUGAUAGACUUUUGCAUUGGGACCAAUGAAUCUGGUGUGAAAAACCCUGCUGCAGCAGUGAAAGAGCAUCAGGAGAUACUGGCUGUACCUGAGGGCCAAAAUAGGAGCAGGUAACGAACCGUAAAAAAAGGAGCAGGUAAUGAAUCGUAACCAAAACUACAGUUGAUCCUCUGAAAAGGAAAGCUCUUUACCCAGAAUGUCCUUCCAGAGUCAUUCAGGAAGGACAAGGGAACACCCUUGGGAAAUGGGCUAGUGGAGGGCUGUUGACUGCAGUGACACCUGGGUGCUCCGGAGGUAUCUGUUGUGUUGACCUGUAAGGAAGCAGUCGAUCCUAGAGUGUCAGAACAGAGCCAUUCUCUCCUCCUGAGUAGGAACGUUUCUGUUCAGCUUCCCUCACAGGAGCCUGUGUUAGCAUGCAGUUGAAAAUACUGCCUUCUAGGAGAACCUGUGGUCAUUGGAAACGUGCCCCACAGUGACUGGCCAUGCAACCGGGUGAUUUUUAGGAAUAGAUGUCUCUAGACUCUGUCUCCUUUCCUACAAGGCCUCACACAGAUGCUUGAGGCUAAUGGCCCCGAUUCUGAGGUCAUUUUUGUGUAGAACUCCUUUCCCCAGGAGAGAGAGAGCCUUAUCUCUGCUCUCCUUUACCCUGAAGCCUUCAAACGGAAGACAGGACCUAGAUCUAAACCUAUCUACUAGCAUUUUGUGGGAUUGUCUAGAAUUUGGGGAAGAUUUGGGUUCCUAAGAUGCACAAGCUUUUUACACCAGUGGUGAUUAACUCAACUAAAAGUCACUGCAGGAAGUUAGCUUCCCUAGACAGCUAAUGCCGAGAACUUCUGCCAGCAUAGAGUUGACAGAAGCAGGCCAGCGAGGAGGUGUGGGACAUAAUAGCCUGAGUGCUUGGGUUACCAUGGAGACUGGAGUGUGUGAGGCCACAGCCUGUGCUAAAGAGCCAUGGAGCCCUCCCCGGCCAUGUCUGGGGACAGAUAGAACCUGAUGGGGGAAAUAUUCCCUCACCCCAGGGUUCUUUCUGCAGAGCAAGAGUUGCCUUUGUCCUAUCCCUGAGCUUGCUCAACAAGAGAAGCAAGGUUUCUUAACUGUUUUGUUUGAAGUUUUCAUUCUUAUUUGACUAUAUGUAUGUAAUUGUAAAGAAACGAUCCUAUGCAUUGUGUUUCUUUUAUAUUCUUGUAAUAUUCUUAAAUUAAAAUUGUUUUGUUUCAU
rnacentral:sRNA from 1 species